rnacentral:rRNA from 1 species
GACGAACGCUGGCGGCGUGCUUAACACAUGCAAGUCGAACGAUGAACCCGGAGCUUGCUCCGGCGGAUUAGUGGCGAACGGGUGAGUAACACGUGAGUAACCUGCCCUUGACUCUGGGAUAACUGCUAGAAAUGGUAGCUAAUACCGGAUACGACCCUCGGUGGCAUCACCAGGGGGUGGAAGGAAUUUCGGUCAAGGAUGGACUCGCGGCCUAUCAGCUAGUUGGUGAGGUAACGGCUCACCAAGGCGACGACGGGUAGCUGGUCUGAGAGGAUGGCCAGCCACAUUGGGACUGAGAGACGGCCCAGACUCCUACGGGAGGCAGCAGUGGGGAAUCUUGCGCAAUGGGCGAAAGCCUGACGCAGCGACGCCGCGUGGGGGAGGAAGGGCUUCGGCUUGUAAACCCCUGUUGCCCGGGACGAACCGCCUCUUUCGAGAGGCCUGACGGUACCGGGUGAGGAAGCACCGGCUAACUCCGUGCCAGCAGCCGCAGUAA